AAGUCGUAACAAGGUUUCCGUAGGUGAACCUGCGGAAGGAUCAUUACCGAGAUCGAAGGGUACCUUCGGGGCCCCGAACCUCCAUCCCGUGUGGUACGACCCAACCGAUUGCUUGGGCGGGGCAACCCGCCGGCAGCCACCCUCAACCUCGCCAUUUUCGUGCCGUCUGAGUGAGAUCGAAUCGACAAAACUUUCAACAACGGAUCUCUUGGUUCUGGCAUCGAUGAAGAACGCAGCGAAAUGCGAUAAGUAAUGCGAAUUGCAGAAUUUCAGUGAGCCAUCGAAUCUUUGAACGCACAUUGCGCCCUCCGGCAUUCCGGGGGGCAUGCCUGUCCGAGCGUCGUUGCAACCGCUACGCGAUAGCUGGCUACGGGCUUCUGCCCGACGAUGGGUGGCACCGCUUCCGGGCGGUCCACCCCAAACCGAGGGCGUGGGUGACGAACCUCCAACCGCGAUGAAGCAUUCGGUUCCGGCAGGGGCGACGCCACCGCCAGGGUGUCCUCGCGACGCCGCGUGCUCCCCACCACGGAGGGGUACGCCGGUCGGACGCCCGCAGCGCUCCACCGUUCGACCUCGGAUCAGGUAGGGAUACCCGCUGAACUUAAGCAUAUCAAUAAGCGGAGGAAAAGAAACCAACAGGGAUUGCCUCAGUAACGGCGAGUGAAGCGGCAACAGCUCAAAUUUGAAAUCUGGCCCCCGGGUCCGAGUUGUAAUUUGCAGAGGGCACUUCGGGCGCGCGACCGGCCUAAGUUCCUUGGAACAGGGCGUCACAGAGGGUGAGAAUCCCGUACGCGGCCGGCCGUCACCCCGUGUGAAGUCCCUUCGACGAGUCGAGUUGUUUGGGAAUGCAGCUCAAAAUGGGUGGUAAAUUCCAUCUAAAGCUAAAUACCGGCCAGAGACCGAUAGCGCACAAGUAGAGUGAUCGAAAGAUGAAAAGCACUUUGAAAAGAGAGUCAAACAGUAUGUGAAAUUGUUGAAAGGGAAGCGCUGGCAACCAGACGUGCCCGCGGGCGAUCACCCGGCCUUCGGGCCGGCGCACUCGCCCGCGAUCAGGCCAGCAUCGGUUUCGGCGGCCGGACAAAGGCGCGUGGGAACGUGGCUUCCCUCGGGGAGUGUUAUAGCCCACGCCGCAAUGCGGCCCGCCGGGACCGAGGACCGCGCUUCGGCUAGGAUGCUGGCGUAAUGGUUGUCAGCGACC
rnacentral:rRNA from 1 species